GAUCUUUAUAUAAUAAUUUUUUUUUUAUAAAAAUAAGUUAAUUAUUUUUUUUAAAUUAAAUUGUAUUUUAUUGGGGUAAUAAUAAAAUUUUAUAAAUUUUUAUUUAUUAAUUACAAAUUUAAUUGAUUUUUUGAUCCAGUAUUAUUGAUUAUAAAGUUAAGUUACCUUAGGGAUAACAGCGUAAUGAUUUUUGAGAGUUCUUAUCGAUAAAAUAGUUUGU
rnacentral:rRNA from 1 species